CUCCUACUGGAGGCAGCAGUAGGGAAUCUUCGGCAAUGGGGGGAACCCUGACCGAGCAACGCCGCGUGAGUGAAGAAGGUUUUCGGAUCGUAAAGCUCUGUUGUUAAGGAAGAACGAGUGUGAGAAUGGAAAGUUCAUACUGUGACGGUACUUAACCAGAAAGGGACGGCUAACUACGUGCCAGCAGCCGCGGUAAUACGUAGGUCCCGAGCGUUGUCCGGAUUUAUUGGGCGUAAAGCGAGCGCAGGCGGUUAGAAAAGUCUGAAGUUAAAGGCUGUGGCUUAACCAUAGUACGCUUUGGAAACUGUUUAACUUGAGUGCAGAAGGGGAGAGUGGAAUUCCAUGUGUAGCGGUGAAAUGCGUAGAUAUAUGGAGGAACACCGGUGGCGAAAGCGGCUCUCUGGUCUGUAACUGACGCUGAGGCUCGAAAGCGUGGGGAGCGAACAGGAUUAGAUACCCUGGUAGUCCACGCCGUAAACGAUGAGUGCUAGGUGUUAGGUCCUUUCCGGGACUUAGUGCCGCAGCUAACGCAUUAAGCACUCCGCCUGGGGAGUACGACCGCAAGGUUGAAACUCAAAGGAAUUGACGGGGGCCCGCACAAGCGGUGGAGCAUGUGGUUUAAUUCGAAGCAACGCGAAGAACCUUACCAGGUCUUGACAUCCCGAUGCUAUUUCUAGAGAUAGGAAGUUUCUUCGGAACAUCGGUGACAGGUGGUGCAUGGUUGUCGUCAGCUCGUGUCGUGAGAUGUUGGGUUAAGUCCCGCAACGAGCGCAACCCUUAUUGUUAGUUGCCAUCAUUGAGUUGGGCACUCUAGCGAGACUGCCGGUAAUAAACCGGAGGAAGGUGGGGAUGACGUCAAAUCAUCAUGCCCCUUAUGACCUGGGCUACACACGUGCUACAAUGGCUGGUACAACGAGUCGCAAGCCGGUGACGGCAAGCUAAUCUCUGAAAGCCAGUCUCAGUUCGGAUUGUAGGCUGCAACUCGCCUACAUGAAGUCGGAAUCGCUAGUAAUCGCGGAUCAGCACGCCGCGGUGAAUACGUUCCCGGGCCUUGUACACACCGC
rnacentral:rRNA from 1 species